AGUGAACGCUGGCGGUAUGCCUAACACAUGCAAGUCGAACGGAAGCACAGUAAUAGUUUGCGGUUCCGGGUGGGGGGUGGGGGACGGGUGAGGAAAACAUCGGAACCUUCUUUUUGGGGGGGGUUAAGGAAGGGGAAGUUACUCUAAUACCGCAUCCGACCUAGGGGGGAAGGCGGGGGAUCUUCGGGCCUGGUGGGGUUGAAUGAGCGGAUGCCGAAUUAGUUGGUGGGGGGGGGAAAGGCCAACCAAGGCGAGGAUCGGUAGCUGGUCUGAGAGGCUGGUAGGCCGCACUGGAACGGAGACACGGUCCAGACUCCUACGGGAGGCAGCAGUGGGCAAUAUUGGACAAUGGGCGCAAGCCUGAUCCAGCCAUACCGAGUGGGUGAAGAAGGCCUUCGGGUUGUAAAGCCCUUUUGUUGGGAAAGAAAAGCAGCAGGUUAAUACCACGCUGUUCUGACGGUAACCAAAGAAUAAGCACCGGCUAACUUCGUG
rnacentral:rRNA from 1 species